GUGGAUGUAGUUCAGUUGGUAGAGCACCAGAUUGUGGUUCUGGUUGUCGCGGGUUCAAACCCCGUCAUCCACCCUCCA
rnacentral:tRNA from 1 species